GAAUAUGGGGGGACCAUCCUCCAAGGCUAAAUACUCCUGACUGACCGAUAGUGAACCAGUACCGUGAGGGAAAGGCGAAAAGAACCCCGGCGAGGGGAGUGAAAAAGAACCUGAAACCGUGUACGUACAAGCAGUGGGAGCCCCACCACCAAAGCAUUCUCUGGUGUUGAAGGCCCUGCAAAGCAGCAUCGCGGUGGCGGAGCGUCGUUUGCGACGCCCAACACACAAAACAAGCGGUGAGUGCUUUGGGGUGGGGUGACUGCGUACCUUUUGUAUAAUGGGUCAGCGACUUAUAUUCUGUAGCAAGGUUAACCGAAUAGGGGAGCCGCAGGGAAACCGAGUCUUAAUUGGGCGUUAAGUUGCAGGGUAUAGACCCGAAACCCGGUGAUCUAGCCAUGGGCAGGUUGAAGGUUGGGUAACACUAACUGGAGGACCGAACCGACUAAUGUUGAAAAAUUAGCGGAUGACCUGUGGCUGG
rnacentral:rRNA from 1 species